UACAGAGGUCUCAAGCGUUGUUCGGAUUCAUUGGGCGUAAAGGGUGCGUAGGCGGCGCGGUAAGUCGGGUGUGAAAACUCGGGGCUUAACUCCGGGCCUGCAGUGGGUACGGGCAGGCUGGAGUGUGGUAGGGGAGAUCGGAAUUCCUGGUGUAGCGGUGAAAUGCGCAGAUAUCAGGAGGAACACCGGCGGCGAAGGCGGAUCUCUGGGCCGGUAUUGACGCUGAGGCGCGAAAGCCAGGGGAGCAAACGGG
rnacentral:rRNA from 1 species